rnacentral:rRNA from 1 species
CCAGACUCCUACGGGAGGCAGCAGUGGGGGAUAUUGCACAAUGGGGGGAACCCUGAUGCAGCGACGCCGCGUGAGCGAAGAAGUACCUCGGUAUGUAAAGCUCUAUCAGCAGGGAAGAAAAUGACGGUACCUGACUAAGAAGCCCCGGCUAAAUACGUGCCAGCAGCCGCGGUAAUACGUAGGGGGCAAGCGUUAUCCGGAUUUACUGGGUGUAAAGGGUGCGUAGGUGGCAGGGCAAGUCAGAUGUGAAAGCCCGGGGCCCAACCCCGGUACUGCAUUUGAAACUGUCCGGCUGGAGUGCAGGAGAGGUAAGCGGAAUUCCUAGUGUAGCGGUGAAAUGCGUAGAUAUUAGGAGGAACACCAGUGGCGAAGGCGGCUUACUGGACUGUAACUGACACUGAGGCACGAAAGCGCGGGUAUCGAGCAGGAUUAGAUACCCGUGUA